UUUUGAAAUCAGAACAAUGAUUCUGAUACGGAAAACGUCAAUGAUAAAAACAUAUCACGGUGGCUACAGGUAAAACGUCAAUGAUAAAAACAUAUCACGGUGGCUACAGGUAAAGCGGCACAGUAAAGUUGAUUGUUGGAUCACCUUUACAGACAAAAUAAAUUUUGUUGUUUUUUUUGCUGCCGUUAUUUGUACAAACCUCAAUUCUUGUUUCAGUUGUUUGUCGAGUUCGGAAUUUGGCAUGUUUUGCCUUCAUAUGAUUGGCUUGACAUUGUGAUAAAAUUGUCGAAGAAUUGUCAUCUAGGAUAUAUCCAUUAAAAAAAAAUCACAAAAAAUCCUUGACCGUUAAGAAAAAAUAUAUCAUACGCUUAAAGCAAUUUCUGGCAUUUUUACCCAUUUACCGCCUCACCCACGCAUCACUUUUAAGAAUAUGAUAAAAAUUACAAAUUUUGCGCAAAUUCCAAAGACACUCCAUGUCUGGAAAAAAUAUGUAACGAGAAACUCAAUAAACUUAAAUAGCCGUACCAUUCUAAGUUAUUUUGGGAGAGGAAAUAUUCUAUGUAUGACAUGACCGUCACGACGGUGAAUUGAUUAUACUAUCUUCAAAAUUGCUGAGAAUAUGUGCGUGCAAAUCAAAGAAAUUAACUAAUAUAUAUGUAAAGCCAGUAAGGGCAUUGUUUUAAACAAUUCGAGUCAAAAUAUGCACAGUUACAUUUUAGUAGAACAUGUUUCACAAUGCUCUUUUAAUGACGUUUCAAGUAGUACCGGUGGUCCUCAUGUAUAUAUGCUCAAUAUGCAAGAGUUUCAAAAACGAUGUUUUUCAUCAAACCAAAUCAACUAAUAGUACAAGCAACACGGUUAUAAAGCUUGUUGUUCAGUUAGAAAACUACGUAUAUUCUUAAUUUGGCUACAAGAAAUACCAUAGACAAAAGCAGUUCUUAACAGCAUGAUAUAAAAUAAUAAAAAGACACAUGCUGUUGAGAGUGUAGAGAAUGUUAAAAAUACGUCCUUUAAACACUCUCUAAUAGCUAUAUAUGGACGAGUUAAAAACCAACCGAUCAAAAUUUGCUCGCUAGAACAUUCCAUAUUUUGGUGUUUAUGUUAAAGACAUAUGAUUACGAUGGCAUCCAUUACGAUGGGAUUUGUCAGAUACAUUCACGUGCAUAUCUCACAUGUAACAACUUUCACAACAUUCGUGUUAUCAGCCACACCACAUCAAUAAUCACAAUAAAAAUAAACAUUCUACAAUUUCGAAAACAAGUAUAAUGGACUUGAUUAGCUCACACGUGAGAGCAAUAUAUAAAGCCACAGGCAAAUCACAUUUUCAUCAGUUCACUUUAGUGUUUAAGCUACACAAGUCGUUGUAAGACAAGAAACGACAAAUCUUAAUCGAAAGUCUAGAAGAUUUUGUGAAACUGUGAUUCAGAGAAAAAUGGGGAUUUUCUGUGGAAAUAAAGGAAACGUCAAACAAAUGUUUUCACUCAUCCAAAAAGUUCAACAACAUCGUCUGAAUGAUCAAAGAUGUGAUCCUGAAAUUAUUAAAAGAGCAGACGAGAAUCAACUCUUUGAAACGAUAAUUUUUUAUCAGUCCAAGAGAAUGGAGGACCAACGUUGCAACAUGCCGUCCAACCUCGCUAAGUAUCAGCAAUAAGUAUUUUAUUAAAAGAUAAAAUGCAAGACUCUUUGCCUUCUUACGUUUUGAUGACAUGCAAGAGUCAAGAGAUGCCACUUAUGAAUAACUUGGCAAUAUCAAAGUGAAUAUCAGGUAGACGCUCCGUACAUCAACCGUAAAGAGAUGAUUGAGCUGCUCAGCCAUGGCUACACCGAGACAGUUAAAAGGUUUGCCAUUUACACAACGUUGAAAGAAAGCCAAUACAGAACUAUAUAAGCGUGAAUAAUGAAGUAUGAAUAGUAGUAAAAGAGUAAAAGGGCUAUAUGAAACAGUUUAUGAAAGAGAUAUUAUAUAGUUUACAUUAUAAAAUAAAUGCAUAGUUUACUAUAGCAUAGUUUACUGGAACAGAGGGCUCGAGUAUUAUGUUUGGUCUGAUUAUGUGUCUAAUAAACAUGCGUAUACAGAAUACAAAAUGUCGUUAAGUAAUAGCGAAAUUUAUCUAACUGAAAACGACGUACGAUUGAAAAUGUCAUUGCAUAAUGGUGUAAAUUGUUAUAGAUGGCCUUUCAUAUGCCCAAAUGAUAAAUUCCAAGCCAAUUUUA